rnacentral:rRNA from 1 species
CCCUUAGAUGUUCUGGGCUGCACGCGCGCUACACUGAAGCUAUCAACACGUUUUCCCUCCCUGAGAAGGGCGGGUAACCUUUUGAAUCAGCUUCGUGGUAGGGAUCGGGGCUUGCAAUUGUUCCCCGUGAACCAGGAAUUCCUAGUAGACGCGAGUCAUAAGCUCGCAUCGAUUAAGUCCCUGCCCUUUGUACACACUGCCCGUCGCUACUACCGAUUGAACGUUUUAGUGAGGCAUUUGGACCGACGCAUCUCAGUUUAACCGCUGGUUUGUGUUGGAAAGACUUCCAAACUUGAGCGUUUAGAGGAAGUAAAAGUCGUAACA